rnacentral:rRNA from 1 species
CAGUCGCCGCGGGAAUACGAAGGGUGCAAGCGUUAAUCGGAAUUACUGGGCGUAAAGCGCGCGUAGGCGGUUUGUUAAGUCUGUUGUGAAAUCCCCGGGCUCAACCUGGGAAUGGCAAUGGAUACUGGCAAGCUAGAGUGUGUCAGAGGAUGGUGGAAUUCCCGGUGUAGCGGUGAAAUGCGUAGAGAUCGGGAGGAACAUCAGUGGCGAAGGCGGCCAUCUGGGACAACACUGACGCUGAGGCACGAAAGCGUGGGGAGCAAACGGGAUUAGAUACCCGCGUAGUCCCUGUCUCUUAUAC